GGGGCUAUGGCUCAGUGGUAGAGCACUUACCUGGCACAUGUAAGAUAUUGGGUUCGAUCCUCAGCACCA
rfam:Ictidomys tridecemlineatus contig001810, whole genome shotgun sequence.